CAUACCUGUCAACUUUUCGGAGCGCCAACCUGUAUAACCUACCAAAAAAAAAAAUACUUAUAAAGAGCAAAAAAUCCUUACAACAUACCAAAGCAUUUUAUAUGUCAAAAUAACGUCAGAAAAAAACCCACGAAAUUUUCACGAUAUUUAUUGUAGAGCUCCAUAAUACAGUGUCUGGUUAAUGUCUAAUCAUCAUUCUACUUCGUGGCAUUACUGUGUUCAGAGUUGUAUUCCUGCGUUACUUUUUUCACCAACUCCAAAUCAUUUGGAGUUGUUGGUGAAAAAAAAAAACGGAAAUUUUCAGAAUCCGUAUGAUUUGUGCGAUACGGCCAUAUACGUAAGAUUCACCACAAAAUCCGUAUGAACUAUGGCUAAACCGUAUGAGUUGACAGGUAUGUA